rnacentral:lncRNA from 1 species
ACGCCAUCUCCGAGGGCACCAAGGCCGUCACCAUGUACACGUCCUCCUGAAGUGUACAUGCACGUCAGAAGCAGGGCUUGCAGCAGGGUGCAUUGUUCUACUAGUAGUUAGUUUAAGUUUAGUCUUGUGUCUCCGUGGCAGGCAUGCAUGCAUGCGUGGUUUAGUCCGGACUUACUUUUGGUGGUGGUGCCGGUCUCCAUGGAGGUCCGAUUUGCAAUGCAGUAAAAGUAGUUUCAAGUUGGUGCCUGAUGAUGUACCUAGUGUAGUUGGUUGGACAAUUAGCGCCUAGAGCUAAUGGUGUCUUGUGCUUCGUGUGGUUUUUUUUUUGUUGUUGCGGAAAUUGUGCUUCGUGUGGUUGAUGCACUAGUAGUUUGUUGCAAGUUAAAUUUAGCUGCCGGUUUACAUUUCCAUCAAAUCAAAUGGUUGUAUAUAUAUGUGUUCUAGCAGAUGAGUCCUUAAUCAGUUUAUGUGAGUGUGGCUACCAACAGUAUUUUUAGAAUAAACUUAAGACUUACUUUUGCACUGGUAUAUAAUUUUUUGCACUGGCUAUUCAACCUUGUUGAUUCGCUCAGCUUUAUUGUCAGUAGCUCAGCUUUGGUUAUUGAAGGAAUAUGGGACCCAGCUACACUUAGAGUCCAUUGCAUGUCGUGAAGCAAUUGACCUCGCUGAAGAUCCUGAUCUUCAACGUUUUGUCGUGAAGCAAGUUAUUGGGGACAUUGCCAAAGGAAUUCAGGGGUCUUACCGAGUUAUUGUUAGUGAAGUCAAGGCGAGAGCAGCACAUUUCUCCUAUAAUUUUAUUUUCCAAAGUCGUCUAGUUAAUUUAGAAGCUCACAAGUUAGCUAAAUUUAAGUAAUAAACUGGCUUUAUCCUCAAAAAAGAAAAAAAAAAGAGUUCAAGGCCCAAGUGGAAGAGAAGAAGCAAGCGAUACAGAGAGAAUAGCUAUAUAAGGAAGCAGAGGAAGAGGCUAUAUGAGGAAGCAGAGGAAUAGCCAUAAGGCCCAUAACGUCUCCCGAGGGGUUCCGGUAACCUCCCGGUACUCCGGAAAAAUGCCCGAACCACUCGGAACUUUUCCGAUGUCGGUAUCUCAAUACCUAGUUCAAUCUCGUUACCAGCAAGUCUAUUUACUCGUUCCGUAAUACAUCAUCCCGCAACUAACUCAUUAGUUACAAUGCUUGCAAGGCUUAUAGUGAUGUGCAUUACCGAGUGGGCCCAGAGAUACCUCUCCGACAAUUCGGAGUGACAAAUCCUAAUCUCGAAAUACGCCAACCCAACAAGUACCUUCGGAGACACCUGUAGAGCACCUUUAUAAUCACCCAGUUACGUUGUGAUGUUUGGUAGCACACAAAGUGUUCCUCCGGUAAACGGGAAUUGCAUAAUCUCAUAGUCAUAGGAACAUGUAUAAGUCAUGAAGAAAGCAAUAGCAACAUACUAAACGAUCAAGUGCUAAGCUAACGGAAUGGGUCAAGUCAAUCACAUCAUUCUCCUAGUAAUCAAAUGACAACUCAUGUCUAUUAUUCAUGCUAAAUGUUUAUUAUUCAUGCUAAAUGUUUAUUAUUCAUGCUAGAAUUAUAUUAACCGGAAACUUAGUACAUGUGUGAAUACAUAGACAAACAGAGUGUCCCUAGUAUGCCUCUACUUACUAGCUCGUUAAUCAAAGAUGGUUAAGUUUCCUAGCCAUGGACUGUGUUGUCAUUUGAUGAACGGGAUCACAUCAUUAGAAUGAUGUGAUGGACAAGACCCAUCCGUUAGCUUAGCACUAUGAUCGUUUAGUUUAUUGCUAUUGCUUUCUUCAUGACUUAUACAUGUUCCUAUGACUAUGAGAUUACGCGACUCCCGAAUACCGGAGGAACACUUAGUGUGCUAUCAAACGUCACAACGUAACUGGGUGAUUAUAGAGAUGCUCUACAGGUGUCUCCGAUGGUGUUUGUUGAGUUGGCAUAGAUUGAGAUUAGGAUUUGUCACUCCGUGUAUCAAGAGGUAUCUAUGGGCCCUCUCGGUAAUGCACAUCACUAUAAGCCUUGCAAGCAAUGUGACUAAUGAGUUAGUUGUGGGAUGAUGCAUUACGGAACGAGUAAAGAGACUUGCCGGUAACGAGAUUGAACUAGGUAUGAUGAUACCGACGAUCGAACCUUGGGCAAGUAGCAUACCGACGACAAAGGGAACAACGUAUGUUGUUAUGCGCUAUAGAGAUCUUCGUAGAAUAUGUAGGAGCCAAUAUGAGCAUCCAGGUUCCGCUAUUGGUUAUUAAUCGGAGAUGUGUCUCGGUCAUGUCUACAUAGUUCUCCAAUCCGUAGGGUCCGCACGCUUAACGUUCGAUGACGAUUUGUAUUAUGAGUUAUGUGAUUUGAUGACCGAAGAUUGCUCGGAGUCCCGAAUGAGAUCACGGACAUGAUGAGGAGUCUCGAAAUGGUCGAGAGGUAAAGAUUCAUAUAUUGGAAGGUUGCAUUCGGAUGUGACGUUGCUGUGACGUGAUGUGAAAGGUGGGCGAAAGAUAGGAGUGGUGGGAUGUGGUAGGAUGUGAGGCGAGACUACCAACUGAGACAUUAAGAAUAGAGAUAUUAACUGGUACAGUUUUUCUCUUACACUUACCAAAAUUAAUCACAUAGUAAUGAUGCUAAUGUUUUUAAGAAUGUUUUUGAAUAUUAAUAAUGUGUACAUGACAAUCAUAGUGUUACCCUCACAAACAUGGUUGUGCUAACUUUCUAUUUGAAAUCAUCAUCCAAAAUCAAAGUUACGCUAGGUUUCUGUUGUCGCAGUUUAGUUCGAGACAUUGUGUGCUAAGAAGACCACUCAUUUAGUUGAACUAUGUUAGAUAUAAGUAAAAUAAAAGGACAGAGCAAGUAAUCAAUUUAUCUCAUUUAUAUGGAUAUAGUGUAUUAAUAUAUGUUCAUGCCACUUCAGUAUUUCUUAAUAUCUUUGGAGAGCUGUAGAGUGUACAUGCAUAACAAAAAGAGCCCGGUGUUUAAUUUGUUCCCUAUAGCGUAUGAUUUUCAACCUUAAAUGAAAAAUAAUGGCGAAUAGUGGCAUAACUAAACUUAAACAUAUUGUAUGCCUUCAAGGAAUUAUAGAUGGGAUGCUUCGACACAGAUGGCUGAGAGGGGAAUCCUGGUACCCCGCCUCCGGCUAAUAGGUAGGUUAGGGAGUCCCCACGAGGGUGGCGCUCUUGCAAAUCAUCUUCGAGUUGUCUUCUGGGACUUGAUUAUUCUCGAGUUGUCCCUUGGGAUGGAGUCAUAUGGAGCUCUGGCGUUAAUUUCGGUUGACUCCUUGGGGUGGCGAGGUUAGCAUGUCUCGUCAUGUGUGCGUGAAGAGAUUCGGUUGCAUGUGCUUCAGAUCAAUUAUAAGGGUUCAACAGCGACGAGUGUGUAUUUGGGGUGUUGGUCCUUAGGGACACAUGCAUGCAGACUUUCCGAUUGUCAUCCAUAAGGUCAGACUAGCUCCACUAGGGAGCAGCCAUAGCGGCUUGAUACGUCUUCGUCGUAUCUAUAAUCUUUUAUUGUUCCAUGCCAAUACUAUACAACUUUCAUAUACUUUUGGCAACUUUUUAUACUAUUUUUGGGACUAACAUAUUGAUCCAGUGCCCAGUGCCAGUUCCUGUUUGUUGCAUGUUUUUUGUUUCGUAGAAAAUCCAUAUCAAACGGAGUCCAAAAGGGAUAAAAACUUACGGGGAUUUUUUUUGAAAUAUAUGUGAUUUUUGGGAAGAAGAAUCAACGCAAGACGAUGCCCGAGGGGGCCAUGAGGCAGGGGGCACGCCCUAGGGGGGGUGGGCGCGCUCCUGACCCUCGUGGACACCCAAUAAGGCGGUUGGCGCCCUUCUUUCGCCGCAAGAAAGCCAAUAUCCGGAUAAAAAUCGUGUCCAAAUUUCAGCCCAAUCGGAGUUACGGAUCUCCGGGAAUAUAAGAAACGGUGAAAGGCCAGAAUAUAUCAAAGUGCAUCAUCUAAUUAACUUGGCUCAAGUUACAUACCACACUACAGGCCUGCCUCCAAAUCGAUGGAUAUGCUUAUCAUUUCAACGCUUUGUUGAUCCUACAAAUUAUUUAUGAUUAAUUGAUAUACAAUGGCAUUCAAAUAAAUAAUUACUCAUAAUUGGUCAAUUUCAUUACCUCUGCUAAGCGUCUAGUGUUGGAUGGCUUGGGUAUGGACAAGACUGUUAAACAAGGGGCACACUUUCCGGACACAAUUAUUCCAGUGUAAACUAUGAAUUAUAUUUUAUUUCCAUGAAUAGUGCUGCAUAUUGUCGAAUAUGGGCUCAAGGGGUGACGUAAUUAAGGACCUGGCUUUCCUUUAGUGAAACGACUCACCACACAAAAGAUAUUGUCAGCAACCUAUGCUUCCCUGCAACAAUGUUGAAUAAGUUUUGGUUUCCAUAAUAACCAUAACAUCUAUAAGAAGCUUUCUACAGUAUAAACUCGUGCCAUAAAAAAUAGAAGUUGUUGAACAGAGAGGUAGUACUCAGGAUCACCAUGAUAAACCAUUGUUUCCUGGAAAUAUUAUGUGGAAGAACUCAUUUAUGCUUUUUGCUACUUCAGCAGCGCCAAAGACUUGUGCCAUGGUUUGCCGCCGAGCUGGAAGAUUAUACCAAACUCUCCUACAUAACUAGCUACUGAAUUAUUGAAACAAGAAGGAAUUUAUAGAACAAAUUAUGUCACUGAACAUGAGACACAAUCCAAGCAUGGGAACUAAAACCAACACAACAUACCAUGUAUUACUUAUUAUGUAUUGUUCUCAAGACAUUGAUCAUCUCAGACACAAAUACACACAAAUCUUUUGUUCUUCUCAAGCUUCUCACCAUCCUUUUCCCUUUCAUUGGCUGCUAAUGAAGCUUCAAAAAUUGUUUCUACCAUUGGCUGCAAAUGUAAUCCUUCCAUCAGUUCUAUUGGGUUGAAAAGUGGUUUGUCUUUGUCCUCCUCACUUAUCACCAGGCUUGGACACAACAAGCAAUUACACUCUGCAAGAUUUCUUGUCAUGCAUGAUAAACAUCACUUCCAGGCCGGCGGUGCUCACUAUGUCACCAAGCUAUCUUGGCGACACAUCACUGUGACAUGGCUUGUGCACGUUGAGCACGAACCCUUGCUCGGGUCCCAUAAACACCUAAUUCAUUUGUAUUGCAGUUAUUCACUGCCUCCCUCAGAAAGUACCAGCAGAUUGUGCACUGUUGAGGCCCCGGAACGACACCAGCCGCAGGGGGGAGGCAAGGUCUAGAUUUCCCGGUCCCCAUGUCAAAGACCAUGCCUUGAUCCCUACCUCGCCCACCUAUCCAGUAGACACAGUUACCCUUGAGCCCUGGAACACCUUCAGCAUGCAUCGACACCGCAUUGCUCCUCCCAACAAACACCGAGUAUCCCCCCAAGUCAGCCACCGCGUCCCAGCAAGGCCUGCGCCGGGGAUCAUACUUGAGAACAAAUAUUUCAUCCUCCUCUAUACGGUGAUGACCGCCUCCCGCCAGAUGCAAAGUGACCGUACAACUAGCAUUCCUCCAGAUCUGGUACAGGUUGCCAUUGCAGAACACCAGGUUCUUGGCACUCGUGAAAGCCGAAACAGCGACGUACAGUGGGGCGAAACUGCUCACCGAAGACAAGAGCAGUGGUUGCACGCUAGCCGGCGCGUUCAGGUCCGGUCCGGCAUUGUGCAUUCGAAUGAUGCGCCUGUUACGCGAUACAAGAUCCUCUGUUGAUGUCUGGUCCUCGAUGAUGACUGGUUCCCGACGGCGGCGUUCCGGUAGGCGGAGCACAUAGACAUUCCCAAGCCGAGUGAGGCAGUAAACCAUACCAUUUUGACCAUUUUGAUGGUAGACGACAUCGAUGAGCUGGUCUCCGAUGGCAAGACGGACGCGGUCAAGGACGACCCACCUCCUGGCCCCCGCAGUGACGUAGGCGAGCCUGUCGAUGUCGCAGAUGGUGGCGGCGGCUGUGACGCCUCCGGUUUGACCGUACACUAAUCAUGCACGCAAAUGUGUACGAUCAAGGUCAGGGACUCACGGGAAGAUAUCACAACACAACUCUACAACAUAAAUAAGUCAUACAAGCAUCAUAAUACAAGCCAGGGGCCUCGAGGGCUCGAAUACAAGUGCUCGAUCACAGAUGAGUUAACGGAAGCAACAAUAUCUGAGUACAGACAUAAGGUAAACAAGUUUGCCUUAAGAAGGCUAGCACAAACAGGGAUACAGAUCGAACGAGGCGUAGGCCUCCUGCCUGGGACCUCCUAACUACUCCUGGUCGUCGUCAGCGGCCUGCACGUAGUAGUAGGCACCUCCGGUGUCGUAGGUGUCGUCGUCGACGGUGGCGUCUGGCUCCUAGACUCCAGCAUCUGGUUGCGACAACCAGAUAGGAAAGAAAGGGGGAAAAGAGGGAGAGAAGCAACCGUGAGUACUCAUCCAAAGUACUCGCAAGCAAGGAGCUACACUACAUAUGCAUGGGUAUAUGUGUAAAGGGGCAUAUCAGUGGACUGAACUGCAGAAUGCCAGAAUAAAAGGGGGAUAGCUAGUCCUAUCGAAGACUACGCUUCUGGUCAUCUCCAUCUUGCAGCAGGUAGAAGAGAGUAGAUUGAAGUCCUCCAAGUAGCAUCGCGUAGUAUAAUCCUACCCGGCGAUCCCCUCCUCGUCGCCCUCACUCAGUCGACUAGGUCGCUGACGUCAAGAAGGCUUCGGCUGAUACCACGACGCCGGGAUACCCAUAACUACUCCCGCGUAGAUGGCUAGUGCGUAUAGACCAAAUGGCCAGACUCAGAUCAAAUACCAAGAUCUCGUUAAGCGUGUUAAGUAUCCACGAACGCCGACCAGGGCCAGGCCCACCUCUCACCUAGGCGGUCUCAACCUGCCCUGUCGCUCCGCCACAAAGAUCCACUUGCGGGUACUCCUACGAGCCGACCCGACUUUUAGUCAUCACAUGUGUCAUGUAUGUAGUAUAUAAGUAUAUACCCGUGAUCACCGCCCAGGUGAUCACGGCCCGAUAGUAUAGCACAGCAGACGGACAAGAAUGUAGGGCCACUGAUGGAAAUCUAGCAUCCUAUAGUAAGCAUGUAGGAUUGCAGGUAAAGGUAUCAACAGUAGUAGCAAGGAUAGGCUAUGCAUCAGGAUAGGAUAUCGAAAAGCAGUAACAUGCUACACUACUCUAAUGCAAGCAGUAUAGAGAAGAAUAGGCGAUAUCUGGUGAUCAAGGGGGGGGCUUGCCUGGUUGCUCUGGCAAGUAGGAGGGGUCGUCGACUCCGUAGUCGAACUGGGCAGCAGCAGUGUCGGUCUCGUAGUCUACCGGAGAGAAGAGGGGGAAGAAACAGUAAAUACAAUGCAAACAUAAGCAUGACGAUGCGUGACAUGACAAUGAGCGGUGCUAGGUGUGCCCUAACGCGACAGUAGGUGGUACCGGCGAAAGGGGGGGAACAUCCGGGAGGUAUUCCCGAUGUUUCGCGUUUUCGGACAGACGGACCGGAGGGGGAAAGUUGCUAGUUCGAUAGGUUAGGGAGGUGUGGUGGACGAACGGACUGCGUAUUCGGAUUCGUCUCGUCGUUCUGAGCAACUUUCAUAUAGAAAACAUUUUCAUCCGAGUUACGGUUUAAAAGAUAUGAAUUUUCAAAGUUUAUUUGAAUCUCUGGAAUUAUCUAUAUUAAGAAAAUGAAUUAUGACGUCAGCAUGAGGCAAUGCUGACGUCAGCAAGUCAACAGGUCGGCUGACCAGUCAAACCAGACAGGUGGGUCCAGUGGGACCCACAUGUCAGCCUCUGUUAUUCUAAUAUCUAUUUAAACUAAUCUAACAGUAUAAUUAGAGGGGGUGGGCCCCACAUGUCAGUGAGUGAUUAGUUAAAAUAAUUAUUUUUAUUUACAAAACAUUUUCUUUUUCUUUUAUUUUUGCGGCGGGGCCCGCAUGUCAGUGACUGGGCCUGCCCAGUCAGCAGUUGACUGGGUCAACCCAGUCAACUGGGGCCCGUGGGGGCCACUGGCAGGGACACUGGGGGGUGGGGCCAGGCCAGCCUCGUCAGCGGCCGGCGCCGGAGCUACGCCGGCGACCAAACGCACGGCGGCGCGGCUCAGGAGGGGUACGGGCUUCGCGUACAUGGGGUCUUCGGGGGCGUGGCUGGGCGCGUUCGACGCGGCUCGGCGUCGCGCGUCCAACGGCGGUGGUCGGAGGGGCUGGAACGGCCGGGGGCGAGUGCUUCGAGCUCGCCGGCGGCGAGGAGCUACGGGUGCCCGACGGAAACACAGCUACGGCGAGCUAUCGAGAAAGCGGAGGGGCUGGGGGGCAUCUACAAACGGCGGGGAGUGCAACGGGCUUAACCCCGUGACCAUUUGGUCACCGGAGACCCGCCGGCGGCGAGCUCCGCGGCGCGGCGUUCGGGCGCGCGUGGGGGAGCAGCUACGGAGCGCGGGCGAGCUAGCGGAGAGGGGGAGGAGGUAGAGGAGCUCACCGCGCGGCGCAAGAAAGGCCCGUGGGUGGCUUAGUAGCAGCAGCAGUCGCCGGAGUCGAAGGAGACGGCGGCGACCCGAGGAAAAAGGCGACGGCGUUGGGGGGCGAUGUAGGGGGUCCCGGCUCGAGCAGGUGGUCGGGGAGGACGGGCUCGACGCGGCGGAGCUCGGGGACACGUCGGGGAGGAGAACGGGGCUCGGUGGCCGCGUGAAUGACGGUGAANNNNNNNNNNNNNNNNNNNNNNNNNNNNNNNNNNNNNNNNNNNNNNNNNNNNNNNNNNNNNNNNNNNNNNNNNNNNNNNNNNNNNNNNNNNNNNNNNNNNNNNNNNNNNNNNNNNNNNNNNNNNNNNNNNNNNNNNNNNNNNNNNNNNNNNNNNNNNNNNNNNNNNNNNNNNNNNNNNNNNNNNNNNNNNNNNNNNNNNNNNNNNNNNNNNNNNNNNNNNNNNNNNNNNNNNNNNNNNNNNNNNNNNNNNNNNNNNNNNNNNNNNNNNNNNNNNNNNNNNNNNNNNNNNNNNNNNNNNNNUGCUUUCCUUUUUUGUUCUGUUUUGUUUUCUGUUUUCCUUUUACUUGUUUAUUUCCUUUUCUGUUUUAUUUCAUUUAAAGUAUUUUGGCAUUUUAUAAAAAGGAGUUUUCUCCACCAUAAUUGCCAGUGUAUUAUUUAGCACCCACAGAACAUUUUUGUUUGAGUUUUUGAAAACUUUUAUUUUUCACUUUAAUUAUAUUUGAAGUUUGAACUAGGAGUUAGAAAAGGAAGGUGAUUCAAAUGUGAUCAAGCCCUGUUUAGCAACAUGAUUAGCUUAAUCACAGGGAGUUACUGUAGCAUGAUUCCCAGGGUGUUACAAAUCUCCUCCACUACAAGAAAUCUCGUCCUGAGAUUUAGGAGGUAGAAGGAAACAGUGCGGGGUAUUCUUCGCGCAGACGAUCCUCUCGUUCCCAAGUGGCCUCAUCUUCAGAAUGGUGCGACCACUGGACUUUGAGAAACUUGAUCGCCUUCUGACGUGUGCGGCGUUCAGCUUGGUCGAGAAUGCGGACCGGAUGCUCCUUAUAGGAGAGGUCCUGCUGCAAUUCGAGCACUUCAUGAUCCACAGCUCGGAUUGGAUCCUUGAAGCAACGGCGGAGCUGUGACACAUGGAACACAUCGUGAACGUGAGAGAGGUUCGGCGGUAGUUCCAGUUGGUAUGCCACUUUUCCACGCUUUUCGAGAAUAGUGAAUGGGCCAAUAUAGCGAGGAGCUAGUUUGCCCUUGAUCCCGAAGCGGUGAGCACCCUUCAUAGGUGUGACUCGAAGAUAGGCCUUUUCGCCAGGUUGAUAGACCAUGUCUUUAUGAUGACGGUCAUACUGACUCUUCUGACGUGACUGAGCAGUCUUGAGAUUCUCGCGAAUAAUGCGGACUUGUUCUUCGGCAUCUUGGAUAAUAUCCGGACCGAAGAGUGGACGUUCCCCAGUUUCUGACCAGUUCAGGGGGGUUCGGCACUUUCGUCCAUAUAACACUUCGAAGGGGGCCAUCUUCAGACUAGCUUGAUAGCUAUUAUUAUAAGAGAACUCAGCAUACGGGAGAGAUUCCUCCCAUUUCUUGCCGAAGGAAAUAACACAAGCUCGAAGCAUGUCUUCGAGAACUUGAUUGACGCGUUCAACUUGUCCUUGCGAUUGAGGAUGAAAUGCAGUACUGAAUGACAGAUGAGUUCCCAUUGCUUCUUGGAAACUUGCCCAGAAUCUUGAAGUGAAUAAGCUGCCACGGUCUGAGCUGAUAACCAAUGGAAUACCGUGGAGUGAAACAAUCCUGGACAUAUAGAGCGUUGCCAACUGGCUAGCAGUGAUCGUUUCUUUGACUGCCAGGAAAUGUGCAACUUUGGAAAGCCGGUCAAUGACGACAAGAAUAGCAUCAUUACCUUUCUGUGAUUUGGGAAAUCCAGUGACGAAGUCCAUCUCAACAUGGUCCCAUUUCCAUUCAGGAAUAGAGAUAGGUUGCAGAGUUCCAGCAGGCCUUUGAUGUUCUGCUUUGAUACGACGGCAAACGUCACACUCAGCAACAUAACGAGCAAUGUCUUGCUUCAUAUUAGACCACCAGAAUCUUUGUCGGAUGUCUUGAUACAUCUUUGUACUACCAGGAUGGAUACACAGAGGCGUAUCAUGAGCUUCUUUCAUAACUUCCUGUGUCAUAUCCAGGUUUUUCUCUGCAUAUGGCACCACUAGGCGGCCCUUGAAGUAUAGGGUGCCAUCUUCAGCAAUGGUGAAGAAUGAGGGCUUUCCUUCUGCGAGGUAGCGCUUAAUCUUGUGGGCUUCAGAGUCAUACUUCUGUAGCCUUUUGAUGCUAUCCACGAGAUCUGGUUUAGCAACUAGGGUAUUGAGGAAACCCUGGGUAACAACGUGGAGGUUCACCUUGCCAAAUUCCUUAGGAGGGGGAGCGAGUGCACCCGGAGGAACAAUAUGGAGGUUCAGCUUCCUGAAUUCUUCAACAAGUGAGGGCUGAACUUUAUGAACCUGGAGGUGGUUGCAGUAAGACUUGCGGCUCAAGGCAUCAGCCAUUACAUUAGCCUUGCCUGGCGUAUAGGAAAUACCCAAGUCAAAGUCUGCAACGAGCUCCAUCCAUCUCUGCUGACGGAGGUUCAGGUCUGGCUGAGUAAACAGAUACUUCAGACUUUGGUGGUCGGUGAAGAUCUCGCAACGAUUACCGAGAAGGUAAUGUCGCCACUGCUUCAGCGCAAGAAUGACGGCAGCAAGUUCGAGGUCGUGAACUGGGUAGUUCUCUUCGUGAGGGCGCAAUUGUCGAGAGGCAUAGGCAAUCACUUUGCGGUCUUGCAUUAGGACACAGCCUAAUCCUUGACGGGAAGCGUCGCAGUAAAUGACGAAGUCCUUCUUAGUAUCAGGUGGAGCUAGAACUGGGGCAGAAGUCAACUUGUCUUUGAGUGCCUGGAAACUUUCCUGACAUUUGUCUGUCCAUUGGAACUUGACGCCCUUAUGUAACAGGUUAGUCAGAGGCCUGGCGAUCUUGGAGAAGUUCUCGACAAAUCGACGGCAAUAGCUGGCGAGACCGAGAAAACUUCUGACUUGCUUAACGUUCUUGGGAGGAGUCCAAUCAAGAAUAGCCUGAACUCGCUCGGGGUUGACGGCAAUACCAUCCUUAGAGAUGACAUGCCCCAGAUAGGUUACUUCCGGUAGCCAGAAUCCACAUUUAGAGAACUUGGCAUAUAGUUGAUGUUCUCGUAGUUUUUCCAGCACAAGACGAAGAUGUUCAGCAUGUUCUUCUUCGUUCUUGGAAAAUAUCAGGAUAUCAUCCAGAUAAACCACGACGAACUUGUCGAGGUAAUCCAUGAAUAUGUAGUUCAUCAGACGAGAGAAGGUGGCUGGAGCAUUGGUUAAACCGAAAGACAUGACGGUGUACUCGUAUGAACCAUAGCGAGUCACGAAGGCGGUCUUUGGGAUAUCCUCUUCGCGAACACGGAUCUGGUGGUAGCCCAACCUCAAGUCGAGCUUAGAGAACACUGACGAACCCGCCAGUUGAUCAUACAGAUCAUUGAUCCGAGGAAGAGGGUAUUUAUUCUGAAUGGUAGCUUGGUUUAUAGGACGGUAGUCUUGAACUAACCGGUUUGUCCCAUCCUUCUUCUUGACAAAAAGAGAAGGUGCUCCCCAAGGAGAGCAACUUGGGCGAAUGAAUCCUUUGCGAAGAGACUUGUCGAUUUCCUCCUUAAGCUCAAGGAGUUCAUGCGGCGGCAUUUUGUAGGGUCGCUUGGCUAUAGGAGUGGUGCCUGGUUUCAAGUCGAUGAUGAAUUCGACAGCUCUAGCAGGGGUAAUCCCUGGAAGUUCUUCAGGGAAGACGUCGAGGAAUUCACGCACGACGGGAAUGUUUUCAAUGCCCUCGAGUGGUGCAGCGUUCAAGGCAUUCAAUGCGUAAAGCCUUGCCUCGGCAUUUUGCACCAGAUUAGCUUGGUAAGCAACUAUUUCAUCUGAAGGGUGUAGCAGAUGGACGGUCUUAGUGGCGCAAACUAUAGAAGCAGUAUGCGCUUUCAACCAAUCCAUACCCAAAAUGAGGUCGAUGUUAGACGUCUUCAGGAUAAUGGGAGAGGCAUAGAAUUCCAGCCCUUCGAUUUCCACGGGGACAUCGAUGCCAACCAAGGAGGUCUGACACUGUCCCACGGGGGUUUUGACCAAUACAGAGGUGUCCAUCUCCUCACAUUUAACGUCGUGCUUGUAUGCAAAAUCUUAUGACAUGAAUGAACGCGAUGCACCUGUAUUAAAUAAAACGGAUGCUGGUACUGAAUUUACAAGGAGUGUACCCAUCACAGUAGCAGGCUGGUCUUGAGCUUCGUUGAGAUCAACGUGGUUGGCAUGAGCACGACCAUAAGACUUAGCAUUGUUGUUGCGGGGCUGAUUGUUACCACGGCCAGUUGCUGGAAGGGCCAGUUGAUUCUGGUUCUGGUUGCAUUCUUUAGCACGGUGUCCUGGUUGUCCACACCUGAAGCACAAGCCAUUAUUCGGAGUGGGAACAGGAGCUUGGGAUGGUGGAGCUGGAAGUGUUGACUGCCUGGACGGUGGUGGAGGCAGACGAGGGGCAGCAUAGGUCUGCUUUGGGGCAGAUGCAUUUGGACGGUACAUGCUGUUCGGGAUCCAUAUCUUACGCUUUUGUGAGGGCGAGCCCGAAGAUGAGCCCGUGUCACGGUUGCGCCUGUGAGAGCUCUGGUAUUCCUGCAGACCAGUUUCGACAUUGAUGGCCUUGUUCACCAAGGUGGCGAAAUCAGCAAAGUCAUGCACUAGAAGUGCGAGCUUGAUGUCAGCUUGAAGGCCAUCACGGAACUUCUCCUGUCUGCGUGCAUCAGUUGCAAUGUCUUCUUCAGCAUAGCGGGACAAGUCCAGAAACUCCCGCUGAUAAGCUUCGACAGAUUUGUUGCCUUGGGUGAGGUUGCGGAACUCACGCUUCUUCCGGUCCAUGACUCCUUGAGGAAUGAAGCGGGCACGGAAAGCAGCUUGGAAGUCUGGCCAUGUGAUGAUUGUUCCAGCUGGCAGAGUACGCCUGUGGCUGUCCCACCAUUGAGCUGCGGGUCCCUUCAGAAAGAAGGAAGCAAAGUUGACAUAGCUGGCAGGGGCUACAUCAGCAGACUCCAACUCAUAGGUGAUGUCACGAAGCCAGUCAUCAGCAUCCAGAGGCUGAGUUGAGCUGUGGUAGAUGGUUGGGUUGAGGCGUAUGAAAUCUUGAAGAGUCACUUGGGCUGGCUGCUGGUUCAUAUUGGGGCGAGGAAACUGAGCCAUCAUAUUUUCCAUGAACUGGCGGUUCAGUUCAAACUGUUGGAUCAUACCAGCCAUGUACUCAGGUGGUGGUGGGGCAUCGCCACCACGACCACGACCACCUGACCAUCCUGCUAAUAUAUAACAGGGGUAGUUCAGCAUUGAGAAAUUUGCAAUGACAAGAAUCAUUCAUGAUGAAACAUGCAUAAUGAAAGGGGCACGAUAGCUAUUACAUAGUAGUCGGCAUAACUUACAAAAGCGGUCAUGCAUAGAGUUCAGUACACAGAGUUCAGUACAUAGACUAAAACAUCAUAGGCGGCACACAGGCUCGCGGCGAAUGCAACUAAUACUAAACUAAGCAGGACUACAUCAGUCCCAAGAGGUACUGUGGAGGUAAUCGUAGCCCGACAGCUGGUAGUGAGGCAACGGAUAGCCCUCCACGUCAGCAGACUGGGGGCCGCGGAUACUCAGGUGUAGAGCCCGACGCUCAGGUGGCAGAAGAGGACCAAGUGCGGGAGAGUAGCCUCCCACCUCUGGCCAACCAACACCGUGGGGCAUCACGGUCCUGGAUGGGUAGAUCGCAGCACGCGGUACCUGUCCAGACCGGACAAAGGGGUGCAACAGCGUCAGAGCACGGUAAAGGUGCUGACGGGUGGUGUACAUCUCGUGGCGAAGAGCUCGGUUAGCUCGAUCCAGCCCAUCAGCAUGCAGAACCAGGUGCUGAUGGUAGAAGGGCUCUCGGGUGACAGUGGAGUAGGCAGCAGUAUAGUAUCCCUCCGCACCAACAUCAGAGGCGAUAGCAAUGUGUCUGACAGGGGAGGUGUCCAACUCCCGAUACUCUCCACGAAGACGUGUCAGAGCAGCAUAGGCAGCAUCGUGGACAGCCAUAUCGAUGGUCACACCAACACCAUGUGCGGUGUGCAGCACAGUAGUGGAGUCGUACUCCCGAGAGUAGAGGUGGACGAUGGCACGGUACUGCUCCUGGUUAAAGUCCUGGUACUCCUCGUAGACGGUGUACUCAGGGUGCCAGCGAUAACCCAGAUAGGUCAUCAUCUCAGCUAGCACCGCAGGUGAUCCCGAGGCACCAAUGGCCAUCGUGUGGCGAACAACCUGCCUCGUGGGUUCCAUCUGAAAGCAAAGACGUUUCAAAGGAGUCAAAUGACAGUGUGUGAAUUGUCCAAAAUACUAUUCUGAGAAACAUCUAUGGCUUAUCCAUCUUUGGGGUGAACGCGGUCACGGGAUCCUAGUGUUAGGGUUAGUAAAUUCGUUUAACCCGAGUAGAAGAGAGUUCAGAGUCCCAGAGUAAAGGUCGAGGAGUAAAAGAUCCUAGUACCACCCAAUGGCGACGUGGGCCCGUAAGACACACAGCCAUGUUAGUAAAAGUUUUUGUAAUGUCUAGACUCGACUUCGGCCAAGGAGUGUGGAAAGGGGGAUUCCUACAGGCAGUCGGCUCUGAUACCAACUUGUGACGCCCCCGGUUUGACCGUACACUAAUCAUGCACGCAAAUGUGUACGAUCAAGGUCAGGGACUCACGGGAAGAUAUCACAACACAACUCUACAACAUAAAUAAGUCAUACAAGCAUCAUAAUACAAGCCAGGGGCCUCGAGGGCUCGAAUACAAGUGCUCGAUCACAGAUGAGUUAACGGAAGAAACAAUAUCUGAGUACAGACAUAAGGUAAACAAGUUUGCCUUAAGAAGGCUAGCACAAACAGGGAUACAGAUCGAACGAGGCGUAGGCCUCCUGCCUGGGACCUCCUAACUACUCCUGGUCGUCGUCAGCGGCCUGCACGUAGUAGUAGGCACCUCCGGUGUCGUCGUCGACGGUGGCGUCUGGCUCCUGGACUCCAGCAUCUGGUUGCGACAACCAGAUAGGAAAGAAAGGGGGAAAAGAGGGAGAGAAGCAACCGUGAGUACUCAUCCAAAGUACUCGCAAGCAAGGAGCUACACUACAUAUGCAUGGGUAUAUGUGUAAAGGGGCAUAUCAGUGGACUGAACUGCAGAAUGCCAGAAUAAAAGGGGGAUAGCUAGUCCUGUCGAAGACUACGCUUCUGGUCAUCUCCAUCUUGCAGCAGGUAGAAGAGAGUAGAUUGAAGUCCUCCAACUAGCAUCGCAUAGUAUAAUCCUACCCAGCGAUCCCCUCCUCGUCGCCCUGUUAGAGAGCGAUCACCGGGUUGUAUCUGGCACUUGGAAGGGUGUAUUUUAUUCAGUAUCCAGUUCUAGUUGUCAUAAGGUCAAGGCACAACUCCGGGUCGUCCUUUUACCGAGGGACACGGCUAUUCGAAUAGAUAAACUUCCCUGCAGGGGUGCACCACAUAACCCAACACGCUCGAUCCCAUUUGGCCGGACACACUUUUCUGGGUCAUGCCCGGCCUCGUAAGAUCAACGCGUCGCAGCCCCACCUAAGCACAACAGAGAGGUCAGCACACCGGUCUAACCCUAUGCGCGCAGGGGUCUGGGCCCAUCGCCCUAUGCACACCUGCACGUUGCGUACGCGGCCGGAAGCAGACCUAGCCUAGUGGCGUUCCAGUCCAAUCCGGCGCGCGCCACUCAGUCGCUGACGUCAAGAAGGCUUCGGCUGAUACCACGACGCCGGGAUACCCAUAACUACUCCCGCGUAGAUGGCUAGUGCGUAUAGACCAAAUGGCCAGACUCAGAUCAAAUACCAAGAUCUCGUUAAGCGUGUUAAGUAUCCGCGAACGCCGACCAGGGCCAGGCCCACCUCUCACCUAGGCGGUCUCAACCUGCCCUGUCGCUCCGCCACAAAGAUCCACUUGCGGGUACUCCUACGAGCCGACCCGACUUUUAGUCAUCACAUGUGUCAUGUAUGUAGUAUAUAAGUAUAUACCCGUGAUCACCGCCCAGGUGAUCACGGCCCGAUAGUAUAGCACAGCAGACGGACAAGAAUGUAGGGCCACUGAUGGAAAUCUAGCAUCCUAUAGUAAGCAUGUAGGAUUGCAGGUAAAGGUAUCAACAGUAGUAGCAAGGAUAGGCUAUGCAUCAGGAUAGGAUAUCGAAAAGCAGUAACAUGCUACACUACUCUAAUGCAAGCAGUAUAGAGAAGAAUAGGCGAUAUCUGGUGAUCAAGGGGGGGGGGGCUUGCCUGGUUGCUCUGGCAAGUAGGAGGGGUCGUCGACUCCGUAGUCGAACUGGGCAGCAGCAGUGUCGGUCUCGUAGUCUACCGGAGAGAAGAGGGGGAAGAAACAGUAAAUACAAUGCAAACAUAAGCAUGACGAUGCGUGACAUGACAAUGAGCGGUGCUAGGUGUGCCCUAACGCGACAGUAGGUGGUACCGGCGAAAGGGGGGGAACAUCCGGGAGGUAUUCCCGAUGUUUCGCGUUUUCGGACAGACGGACCGGAGGAGGAAAGUUGCUAGUUCGAUAGGUUAGGGAGGUGUGGUGGACGAACGGACUGCGUAUUCAGAUUCGUCUCGUCGUUCUGAGCAACUUUCAUAUAGAAAACAUUUUCAUCUGAGUUAGGGUUUAAAAGAUAUGAAUUUUCAAAGUUUAUUUGAAUUUCUGGAAUUAUCUAUAUUAAGAAAAUGAAUUAUGACGUCAGCAUGAGGCAAUGCUGACGUCAGCAAGUCAACAGGUCGGCUGACCAGUCAAACCAGACAGGUGGGUCUAGUGGGACCCACAUGUCAGCCUCUGUUAUUCUAAUAUCUAUUUAAACUAAUCUAACAGUAUAAUUAGAGGGGGUGGGCCCCACAUGUCAGUGAGUGAUUAGUUAAAAUAAUUAUUUUUAUUUACAAAACAUUUUCUUUUUCUUUUAUUUUUGCGGCGGGGCCCGCAUGUCAGUGACUGGGCCCAGUCAGCUGGGGCCCGUGGGGGCCACUGGCAGGGACACUGGGGGGUGGGGCCAGGCCAGCCUCGUCGGCGGCCGGCGCCGGAGCUACGCCGGCGACCAAACGCACGGCGGCGCGGCUCGGGAGGGGUACGGGCUUCGCGUACAGGGGGUCUUCGGGGGCAUGGAUGGGCGCGUUCGACGCGGCUCGGCGUCGCGCGUCCAACGGCGGUGGUCGGAGGGGCUGGAACGGCCGGGGGCGAGUGCUUCGAGCUCGCCGGCGGCGAGGAGCUACGGGUGCCCGACAGAAACACAGCUACGGCGAGCUAUCGAGAAAGCGGAGGGGCUGGGGGGCAUCUACAAACGGCGGGGAGUGCAACGGGCUUAACCCCGUGACCAUUUGGUCACCGGAGACCCGCCGGCGGCGAGCUCCGCGGCGCGGCGUUCGGGCGCGCGUGGGGGAGCAGCUACGGAGCGCGGGCGAGCUAGCGGAGAGGGGGAGGAGGUAGAGGAGCUCACCGCGCGGCGCAAGAAAGGCCCGUGGGUGGCUUAGUAGCAGCAGCAGUCGCCGGAGUCGAAGGAGACGGCGGCGACCCGAGGAAAAAGGCGACGGCGUUGGGGGGCGAUGUAGGGGGUCCCGGCUCGAGCAGGUGGUCGGGGAGGACGGGCUCGACGCGGCGGAGCUCGGGGACACGUCGGGGAGGAGAACGGGGCUCGGUGGCCGCGUGAAUGACGGUGAANNNNNNNNNNGGGUGCCCGACGGAAACACAGCUACGGCGAGCUAUCGAGAAAACGGAGGGGCUGGGGGGCAUCUACAAACGGCGGGGAGUGCAACGGGCUUAACCCCGUGACCAUUUGGUCACCGGAGACCCGCCGGCGGCGAGCUUCGCGGCGCGGCGUUCGGGCGCGCGUGGGGGAGCAGCUACGGAGCGCGGGCGAGCUAGCGGAGAGGGGGAGGAGGUAGAGGAGCUCACCGCGCGGCGCAAGAAAGGCCCGUGGGUGGCUUAGUAGCAGCAGCAGUCGCCGGAGUCGAAGGAGACGGCGGCGACCCGAGGAAGAAGGCGACGGCGUUGGGGGCGAUGUAGGGGGUCCCGGCUCGAGCAGGUGGUCGGGGAGGACGGGCUCGACGCGGCGGAGCUCGGGGACACGUCGGGGAGGAGAACGGGGCUCGGUGGCCGCGUGAAUGACGGGAACGGCGGCGAGCGCGUCGNNNNNNNNNNNNNNNNNNNNNNNNNNNNNNNNNNNNNNNNNNNNNNNNNNNNNNNNNNNNNNNNNNNNNNNNNNNNNNNNNNNNNNNNNNNNNNNNNNNNNNNNNNNNNNNNNNNNNNNNNNNNNNNNNNNNNNNNNNNNNNNNNNNNNNNNNNNNNNNNNNNNNNNNNNNNNNNNNNNNNNNNNNNNNNNNNNNNNNNNNNNNNNNNNNNNNNNNNNNNNNNNNNNNNNNNNNNNNNNNNNNNNNNNNNNNNNNNNNNNNNNNNNNNNNNNNNNNNNNNNNNNNNNNNNNNNNNNNNNNNNNNNNNNNNNNNNNNNNNNNNNNNNNNNNNNNNNNNNNNNNNNNNNNNNNNNNNNNNNNNNNNNNNNNNNNNNNNNNNNNNNNNNNNNNNNNNNNNNNNNNNNNNNNNNNNNNNNNNNNNNNNNNNNNNNNNNNNNNNNNNNNNNNNNNNNNNNNNNNNNNNNNNNNNNNNNNNNNNNNNNNNNNNNNNNNNNNNNNNNNNNNNNNNNNNNNNNNNNNNNNNGGUUUUGGGCCGGGGGUCAGUGGGGGGGGGAGGCCUGCUCCUUUUGCUUUCCUUUUUUGUUCUGUUUUGUUUUCUGUUUUCCUUUUACUUGUUUAUUUCCUUUUCUGUUUUAUUUCAUUUAAAGUAUUUUGGCAUUUUAUAAAAAAGGAGUUUUCUCCACCAUAAUUGCAAGUGUAUUAUUUAGCACCCACAGAACAUUUUUGUUUGAGUUUUUGAAAACUUUUAUUUUUCACUUUAAUUAUAUUUGAAGUUUGAACUAGGAGUUAGAAAAGGAAGGUGAUUCAAAUGUGAUCAAGCCCUGUUUAGCAACAUGAUUAGCUUAAUCACAGGGAGUUACUGUAGCAUGAUUCCCAGGGUGUUACAGCGGCGAAGUCGUCCCUAGCGGGGUCAGGCGCGAAGACGAUCUUGGAGAGCAAGCGGGUGUCGUAGAUGAGCGGUUGUAGGAGGAUCUCGGUGGCGGUGACUGGGUGGAAGAGGGUGAGCAGGCUUUGGCCGUCGUAGAGGCAGACCGAGAGGGCAAGCCACCAGCCUCCGCAACCGAGGCAGCUCCUAAUCGGGUAGGUGGCCGUGAACUCGAAGGAGCCGCGCAUGGGGGGGGGAGGCGUUGGGGCAGGACGAGCCUGAGGGGAUUGCCUUGAGCCCGAAGGAGCGGUGCGCGGGGAGCGAGACGAUGGCGGCGUGCCGACGCCUGGUGGCGUCGUCGCGGAGGAGGACGAGCAGCGACGGCGCCGGUGGCGCGAGCGCGCGACGCCACGUGGUGCAGGUGCCUCGCACGCUGGUAUAGAACCUGAGGUCAUCGAGGCCAUCGGCGACGUGGCGGAGGAGCUCCGGCGGCAGAUCUGUCCAGCCCUGGAACGGCGGCAUGGCUGGCGGCGGAGGGGGAUUCCUGCCUCUUUUUCUAUGAGGAAUGGAGGGAUUGUGUGUGGGCCUAGGGUUUCAUGGUGGGCUUGGCCUGACUUCCUUCUUUAUAGCAAAUCGAUACUUCUCCAAAAUCAAGGCAGGCAUUAAUUUAAUCAAAUCAAAUCGAAUCUUUCACCACCGAAUCAAAACUUUCCCCUCCGAAUACGGGAAUCAAAUCAAAUCUUAACAUAUUCGGUCCUUUUUAAAAAUCUUACCAAAACCAAGAUUAAAUUAAAACUUUCCUUGCAUUGCGUCCGUCGUUGCAUACUUGCAUAGAGAGUAGAAAGAGACUGCCCGCCGGCCGCCCCCUCCAUCCUUCCUUGCUUCUAUCUUCCAUUCCGCCGGCUGCCGCCUCCGCCUCCGCCUCUGCGUGAUUUGAUUUGACUAGACGAGAAGAGAAGAGAAGAGAAGAGAAGAAAAGAUGCUGCCUUGGAUCUUCAGCCGCAAGGGCGCGUCGGGCUUCUCCUGGGCAUCCACCGCCGACCAGGUCACCGCCGGCAUCUCCGCAGCCGGCCUCACCGCAAUAGUCACAGGUGCGUCGAGCGGGAUCGGCGCGGAGACGGCGCGGGUGCUGGCGGCGCGCGGGGCCCACGUCGUCAUGGCCGUCAGGAACCUCGCCGCCGCAGAGGCCGUGCGCCAGGCCGUCCUUGCCGAGACCCCCGGCGGCAGCGUGGAGGUGAUGGAGCUGGACCUCUCCUCCCUGGCCUCCGUCCGCAACUUCGCCGCCGACUUCGCCGCCACCGGCCUCCCCCUCAACAUCCUCGUGUAAGGCUACUCCCAAUCAUGCGAAAAGCACUUGAUAACUUGAUAGUUGAGGUUCAGUCAGGGGUUGUCAAGAUGAGUUUCAGGUUCAGGUUCAGGCCCCAUCGCGAUUUCUUGGGACCAUUCAUUCAGGUUCAGGUUUAGGUUCAGUUAGGGGUUGUCGGCCAUUAAAUUCUCAACAUGGCUGUAUCACUUUGGCUGCAACUUGAUACUUUCAGCGGGUUUCACUCAACAUCGAGCCGAUUUAAUUUCUAGGUUUCUUUUGUACUACCUUCAAUCAUACAGACGAGCUUGGUCAUACUAUCAGUUAGAAGUUGUCCUGGUGGAUUUAAUGUGAUUUCACCUAUUCAACUACAAACUACUGCAACAAUGGUGUGACUUUUCAGUUUGGGUGAAAGAAACUCGCUGCUUGUAUAUGCAGAUAGCUUCAGGACAUUUCCAUGGCAUCGUACAUUCGUACUGAUUUAACUCAGGUUCCAGGACAGCUGCUAGUUUGAACCAUGCGUGUUUUAGGAACGGUCAGUUUCAUUUCAUGGAUGGGUAAUUUGAUCUGUAAGGGCUAGCUCUGUAGGAAUUGUGGCGGUCCUAUAACAUGAAAUGGAACUAACAGGAGGGGUCCCGACAUGAGUUAGUCAUGCUGGCGACUUACUUGCACAGCUAUGCCACUUCCUGCACCGCAACGCUUAAUCCUGGAUAAGCACAGGACUCAUUGUAUUUAAGUCUAGUACUUUUCAGGUUCAGGUAUGCACUUGGCCCCAUCGCGAUUUGUGAGGACCAUUCAGGUUCAGGCUCAGUUAGGGACUGUCGGCCAUUAAAUUCUCAACAUCUGCAUCAUGAGUAGCACAACAGCGAGAUGGCUUAUCAGUUUGGCUGCAACUUAUAGUUUCAGCAGAUGUCUGCAACAUUGGGUGGAUUUAAUUUCUGGGUUUUGUUUGUACCUCAACUUGGACUAUACCUUGUUGGUUGGAGUAAAUGCUGCCUGCAACUAGUAGAUCAGUGUAGGGUGGAAGAAAGAUAUUGUGGUGAUGCCUUCAGUCCUGAAUUCAGGAACAAUCUUCCAGAUUUCCAAAUUUUAAGGAGGCUAUAGGCAUGGGAAAUUUCAUUUCAUGCCAGGGUAAUCGGUUUGUAGCACUUCACUCUAGACUAGAGUUGGUAUAACAGUGCUAGUGUCCUGGAUACAAGAUCAUAGUAUUAGUGAAGUAUCUGCUUAUGAUGCUUCUUGCACCACAACACUUGAUCCUGAAUACAAGAGUAUGCUACUGGUUGUACCUUUCUUCAAUAAUUAUCUGACCUGCCGUAUUUUUUUUCAGUAACUCAUCUCAUGUUUUGGGACCUAGUAUCUUUCAUGCUUGCUGGCUUGCACGUUUGCUGAGGCGUACCAUAAUAGCUCAUCGUGUUCCCUGAUUACAUGAUGCUUUCUCUGGCUGGCAGCAACAACGCAGGGGUAAUGGCGACCCCUUUCUCCCUCUCAAAGGAUGGCAUCGAGAUGCAGUUUGCAACUAACCAUGUCGGUAUGCAUGAUUACCAACAAACUCCCACCUGCUUGAUGAACCGAUUUUAUGUACCCUCAUACAGAACGUUUAUUCUGAACAGUAUAGUGUUCUCAAUAUUUUUACAGUUUGGAAUCUGAAUGUUGUCUGCCUUAAUAUAAGCUUAAAUGGCCCCUUAAUGUCUCAACACUGGUGUGCUCCUGCUUCCAAUGAUCACCAAACAAAUUAUUAUUUUCUGCCAAUCCUAGAACAGUACAAAACCUGCAAAUUAUCUCAGCAGACAGUUGCAAGCUUGCAAUUUCUGCUUCACCUAACCCUCCUAGUUCAUUUAUACGUCACUUAACUCUUCAUGUCAUAAUAUCCAGGGCAUUUUCUUCUGACAAAUCUUCUGUUGGAGACCAUGAAGAAGACCUCCCGUGAAUCAAACGUGGAAGGAAGAAUUGUUAACGUUUCAUCAGAGGGGCACAGGUUUGCAUACAAGGAAGGCAUCCGCUUCGCCAAGCUAAAUGACGAGGAAGAGUAUGUAAUUUCCGUGCGGUCAUCGCGUUUCCCCGUACGGUUUACUUUUUUUGAAGACAAAUCAGUCACUUGUUGUUUCAAUCUUGCGUUGUUCAGGUAUAGCACCAUUGCAGCAUAUGGGCAGUCAAAGCUUGCCAACAUUUUACAUGCUAAUGAACUUGCCAGGAGAUUUAAGGUUUGUCUCGUCCCGUUCUGAUUUUUGUGGUUGUGGCAUUGUGCCAUGUCUUGGGUUCAUGUUAUUUUGAAUUUUCCGGUUCUAUGUUGAUGUUUGUUCCAACAUGAGUACUUGUGCUAGCAAGCACUGUCAGUUGCAUUUUUUCUAAGAGUCUGCAGUUGGACUCUAAAAUCACACCACUUUCUGAAAUAAAGGAAAGUUUAGUGGUUGUUACACACGAUCUUCAUGAGACAACUUCAUUUGUUACAGUGAACAAUCGGCAUCCAAAUCCAUUGUCUGAAAGCAGAACUGUUUGAUCUUAAUAACUGGUUUUGUCUGUUUUCAGUUCUUUAUCAAUAUGAUAUAUAGCUUUAUUUCAGCCCAAGUAUCUUAAAUCAUGAUUCAAUUUUUUGUCGAACAGGAAGAGGGUGUUAACAUCACUGCAAAUUCUCUCCAUCCUGGAGCUAUCAUCACGAACCUUCUUCGCCACCACAGCAUCAUAGAUGGUAAACAUACUUACUUGGCAGCAGAUAUCACGUGGCGCUCCUCCUUUCGUCAUACAAGAAAUUGUCUCGAUUCAAGUUUCUUCUUGCUUUGAAUAAUUCAUGGCAUUUGCGGCAACCCAAAAAGAAAACACAGUAAAAGUUAACAGUGAGACAGAAAUGGCCCGUGGCAGACAGCAGUUUGAAACACAUCUGUUAAACUAAUAAAAUGAUACAUCUGCUUUUGUUGGUUAAAAUCAGACAUCCAUGGUCAAGGGCUUCUUUUGAAAUUUUAGCUUGACUGAUAUCAUCAUAAUGUUUUUUGUCGUAUGCAGUUCUCCACCGAACGCUUGGUAGACUGGUGCUGAAGAACGCCAAACAGGUACGCUCUGGCACUAUGUAUGUUCAGUCUUCUUCACAGGGUGGUGUGUCCAUCAUGUUACAGUAUUACAUAGUUUAAUUUCCAUCGUGUUGGAAUGACAGGGAGCUGCAACGCAGUGCUACGUGGCGCUGCACCCGGACGCGAAGGGGGUGUCGGGGAAAUACUGGAGCGACAGCAACCUGUACGAGCCGAGCGAGAAGGCCAAGGACGCGGAGCUGGGAAAGAAGCUCUGGGACUACACUCUCGACCUCGUCGCCUGAUGAUCGGUAGGCGCAGACGAGAUGAGACCAAGGAUGUGAGGAACGCAAUGUAAGCUUACAUAAUGUACAACAACCACCUAGACUACUCGUAGAUAAAAUGCUGGAUACUGGAAUUAGUCCAGACAGAAUUAUUAUUUUUACUCCUAAACAAAUUUGUGGGAUGCUGUAAUCGUCAUAUUAAGAUACAAAAACAUUAACUUCAGAGUACAGCAUGUGCCCUGAUAAGUCCAUGCAAGGUGCUUGCAAGGUCUGGUUCAGUUGACAUCCUCUGUUUUUACCUUCAACUGUCAGAAUGUUACUCCUCUGAUUAAUAAUUACCACACUAAAGCUGCCAUACUUGCCUCGGAAGAUCCAUUGAAGAAGCAUGUGCACCAUCACAUGCGCUACUGUAUUAUUUUCAGUAGCACCAUGCACUUGAGUUUUUGACACUCCAAUGGCAAACAUUAAGUAUGCUUACCAAAACUAAUCCUUCCAGGGUCUACAUAAUAUGACAGAAAACAUCUUGCUUUUUAGUUAGCUCACAGUGACUGUAGAUGUUUGUUGAUCCAAAAACGAUGUCAUGUAAAACCUAAUAACAUAAGCAUAUGAAGUGUAAAACGUGACUUGGAUGAUGGCAUUGUAUGUCAUGUAGUCAUUUGCUGCAUUCCUUGACUCAAUGUUAUGUGGAAGAACUCAUUUCUGCUUUUCGCAAUUUCUGAAUUUGUUUUCUAGCGUGCAUACUUAUAGUCUAUGACCUUUACCUUCUGAACUUCUAUUUUGCACAACAUACGAGAUAGUGAAAUGAUAUGGGCGCAACGUAAUGUAAGAAUGUAUUGUAAUUGUCCUAAAACUAGUGAUUGGCGUCCACAUAUCGGGCAAAGGUAAAAUGCACAUGACAACACCUAUGAAAAAAAGAACAAGAAAGACUUCCUACAAAGUGGGCAAAAAUAUAUUAUAAUCUGAGUAACGAACUUGUAGUUUAGCCAUGCCCAAAAGAACUAUUUAUGGGGAUGAAAUCAAAAGCAAAUACACUAUUUUUUUUAUUCUGUUUGUAUAUAUCCAUUGUGUCGCAUUUUCUUCACUAUGUCCCUCGGUACAAUUUCUUUGGAGUUGCUUGAGGGAAGUGGUGGGAAGCAAGUGGUGCCAUACUAACUUCCUAGAAGAGAUCCGGGAAGUAAAAUCCCAUUUACUCCCUAUAUAAGAUGUUUCUGUGUCAAAAAACAUCUUUAUAUAGGGAGACAACAGAGGAAGUACAUUAUUUCAAGGCAAACAAGAGUCACUUAACGCGCCAAUGUUGCAUUGUGCGGAUGACAUCACUGUUAUGACCUUAUACACGAAAAUUAGCACGAUUUGACCCAUUUAAAAAGUAUUUUCGAAUUUAACCUUUUUGGUCACGACAACAUCCAUGUCAAUGGCGUUUGACCCUGACCCACACUUAUCCAGUUGACGCUUAUGUGGCAAAGCGAAACGACAUGAAACACGACGCUUGGGUAAAAGCCAUGAAGUUGGGCGUUUAGUCUUUUCUACUAUUCAAGAUGGAAUAGCGACUACUCCUUUACUUCUUGAUUGUUGUGUGCCUAGCCAUGACCAAUAUAAUAUUAUUUGCUAAUCUCUUUCACGAUCUGAAGUAUCGCGAGAUGCAACGAUCGAGCCUUCCGACUAUCCACAAACCACCAAACUGAAUGAGGAGGUGGGCACUAUGGUCGAGUGGCGCUGAAUACUUGCGCCAUUGACUACUGUUGAAGCUUUGACUAGUGCCGAGCAUUGGCUACAAAUGCAAUCUUUCCAUUAAUUCUAUCAUUCUUAGUGUAAAACUAGUUGAACCCUAAGGCUCUAGGUAGGGGUGCAUGCAUGUUAUAUAUGCAUAUCUCAUUGUAUCGGACGCAUUAGAUUGUAAAAAACAAUUUUCUAUCUCUCUUAAGACACCCCUCUAUUUUUUGGUCAUUUAUAUUGAACUCUUUUGCUUAUUUUGAUAAGUUAUUAACACAAAAUCUUCACUAUUACAAUUCAUAGUAUAUUUAUAGCACAAUUAACACAUGAUGAUGCUGCUAAACUUAAAACAUAACGGUCUAGGUUACAAUUACCAAAUCUAUUAAAAAUGCACAUUCUACUAAAUUAAAAUUAUAUUUUUGCAGCAAAUAUUAUGUUUUCGUGUCAUAAAUUAUGUUUAAAAGGAAGAGAAUGUUGGUUGAAUUGAAUGUUUCUUCGAUGUAAGACAAUACUAGUGACGCAAUUGUAUUGUAUAUUAUUAAUAUGCACCAUUAUAAAUGUCAUAUGUAUUUGUAUGCAUUUAUUUUUUAUCAUCUGUAAGUAUAUUGAUAUAGAGCCCUAGAGUGUAUGUGUCUAACAAAAAUCUUGAUAUAUGUGGCUGCGUGGUGUAUGAUUUUUUUAUUGACAAGGUCUCAUGAAAUAUCUACUAUUCUCCUCGGAUAAUUGGCAUUGCUCUUUUAGUGGAUUUUCAUGGAAAAAUAUGCCUUUCCUGUUUGAUUAUAUGGUUCACUAGUUGGCAUGUUUGGAACAAAGGAAAUUUUCCAGGAGGUUGGAUUCAAUGCAAAUUCAUGAGGUUGGAUUCAAUUGAAUAUGCUCUACGUUAUAUGCGAUGAAAAGCAAGAAUGUUUUACUCUCUAGUUAAGAAAAGGAAUGAUGUACGAAGUCUUAUGUCAAAGGUCAAAUUAGAAAUGGUGUUAUGAAGAACAAGUAAGAUUAUAGCAAACUCUCCUAGCUAACUAGCUACAGGAUUGUUGAAACUAGAUUUGACUUAUAAAGAGCAUGACUUCACUACAGAUAAGACAUCAUCAAAGCAUGGAAACUGAACCAAAAUACAACGUGAUAUAUACAAUGUGUUGUUGUUGAUGUUACUUCUUCUAUUCUUCUCAAGACAUCAAAAUAUGAUCAUCUCAGACACAAAUACACAAGUCUUCUAUUCUUCUCAAAAUUCUCUGGAUAUUUUCUCCUCUCUUUGGCUCUUAAUGAAGCUUAGACUAUUUCUGCACCAUUGGAUGCAAAUGCGGUAUGUCUUUUUCCACCUUGCUCGACUGGUAGGCUUGGCCACAAUCCCUUGCCCACGCAUGAAAAGCAUCACUUCCACCAUUGUGGCUAGUGGUGCCCACUAUAUUGCAAAGUUGUCCCGAGGAAGGAUCAUUAUUCCAUGCCUUGUGCACGUUCAACCCUGACCCCUUGCUUGGAUCCAAUAAACUCUUCUUUCAUUUGUAUUGUAGGUAUUUACUAUGUUGCUAAGACAGUACCAACAAAAUAUUGUUUAUUGAGGCCUUUGAACGACACCAGACACGGGAAGGUAAGCGGUAGACCUCCCGGUCCCCUUGACAAACACCAGAAUUGAUCCCUACUCUUCCGCACCUAUCCAGUAGACACAGUUACCCUUGAGUCCCGGAACACCUUCGGCUUUCAUCGGCACUGUAUUGUUUCCUCCCAAUAAACACCGAGUACCCCCCCCCCCCCACAAAUUUGGCCAUGACGUGCCAGCAUGGACGGUGCCGAGGAUCGUAGCUCAGAGAAAAUAAUUCAUCAUUUGUUGCAUGGCGGUGACCGCCUCCUGGCAGCUGCAAAGUAACCCUGCAACUGGCAUUCCUCCAAAUCUGAUAGAGGUUUCCAUUACACAAGACCAGCUUCUCGACACUCAUGAAAUGCUAGACCGUGUCGUAUGGUCGAACUGAAGGUUGCCUAUAGAUGACAGGAAUGGCUCGACCUUGACCGACACAUUUAGGUCCGAUACGGCCCGUGCAUUUGAACGACGAAGUGCAUGUUAUACAAUGUAGGGUGUGUUGAUGUUAGGUCCUCUAUGAUGAUAGGUUCUGGGCGCCAACAGUGGUGCUCGACCAGGCGGAGCAUGUGGACAUCUUUGAAACAAGUGAGGCAGUAGACUGUAGCAUUUCCAUGCGGUGAGGUAUGUGAGCCUAUGGGUGUUGCAGAUGGCCCGCCUUCAUAUGGGCUGUGUGGGCGGCGGCGAGGUGGGCGUGUGGUAGCCGUCGUCGACAGGGAUAGUGAGGAGUAGCGGUGGCUGCGUGGCCAUGGCUGCGGGCUUGUCGACAGGGAUAGUGAGGAGUAGGGGUGGUAACGCCGCCAUGGCUUUGCUAGCUUUGUGGAGUGCUACCUACAAUUAGUGCAAGCUAGUCACGUACUCCCUCCGUAAACUAAUAUAAGAGCGUUUAGAUCAUUAUUUUAGUAAUCUAAACGCUCUUAUAUUAAUUUACAGAGGGAGUACUUUGAGGAGUAGCGAUGGUAAUGCCGUCAUUUAAGCUGCGUGUACGUGCACGCAGGCUGGUGUCGGUGCACGUACGAAUGCAUGCCAAAGAAGCGUUUCAUUGGAUACCAUACCCAUGCAUGCAUGUAGCUAGCCGUUUGAGAGCUGAUCGAUAUGCAUGAUUGACCUUGGAUGCUUCGACGUGCGCUUUGUGUACGUUGCAAAUAUAUUGUUUGGAGUGUUGUGCGCGUGCAUGGCAUGACUGAGUCAUGGGGACGUACCGAUGGAAGCAUCUAUCCGACGGACGUAGGUAUACGUCCAAAGAUGGUUGAUCGGUCGUCCAACCAUGCAUGCACGUGACCCAUUUCAGAUUCUACCGGUCGGUUCCCGUAGCCAUAGGAUUCCGGCCGGCCGACAAUUCCGGAGGCAAGCACUCACGCAGAUAUCCCUAGCAAGAAAAAAAGACACGAUAGGGGAUCUACACAUAUGGAUGCAAUUUUUUUAUUUCUGUUUUUUGAUACUAUCAUGACAUGAUGAAUAGAGCGGAAGUUUUUUUUUCGAAAGAGAAAAGGGACGGAGCCAGGAAGUUCAUAAGAGGGGGCCAAUCGAACAUAUAGAGCACUCAAGGGCUUAGAGAUACAAAUUUUAAGCUGAAUUAGUAUAUAGCUAGUUCUUGGUAUUGUCAUGUCAUGAUGAAUAGACCGGAAGUUUUCUCGCAAAAAAAGCGACGAAGCAGGAAGUUCAUAAAAGAGGCCAGUCGAACAUGUAGAGCAUUGAAGGGGGUAGACAUACAAAUUUAGAGAUUAACUCCAGUUACGAAGUGACGUUUGAUACACACAAAGCAUUCCUCCGGAGUCCGGGAGUUGCAUGAUUACAUGGUCUAACAAGCAUGUAUUUGACAUUAAGAAAGCAGUAGCAAUAAAUUGAACGAUCAUAUGCUAUGCUAACGAAUGGGUCUUGUCCAUCACAUCAUUCUCCUAAUGGCGUGAUCCCGUUGUCAAAUGACAACUCAUGUCGAUAGUUAGGAAACCUUAACCAUCUUUUGAUUAACGAGCUAGUCAAGUAGUGGCUUACUAGGGACUUGGUAUUUGUUUAUGUAUUCACACAUUUAUUUAAGGAAAUAUAAUAUAAUAAUAAUCACUGUAUUAUUGCCUCUAAGGCAUAUUUCCAACAGUCUCCCACUUGCACUAGAGUCAAUAAUCUAGAUUACAUAGUAAUGAAUCUAACACCCAGAUUGGGCGCCGUUGCUCCGCUUAUCAGAUCGGACACUGCUCUGCAGAAUACGCCCACGAUCAGGAGGAAUGCGCGACAGCGUGGCUCCCCGGCCUCACCCGCAGCAGCUUCCCCGACCUCCAUCGGCUCGACACGGCCGGCGCACGGAGCGCGGACGCGGCGCCCGCGACUUCUAAUUACUGGCGGCUGUCGAUCACCUCCACCGGCGACGAAGCUCCAGCGGGGCAUGUAGUCAGAGGGAAGAGAGAGAGAGAGGGGCGGAGUUCGUGGGCGAGCGAGGGAGCAGCGCAGAGUUCGUGGUCCGCUCAAUUUGGAGGAACCACUCUAUUCGGCAUAUAGGUGGAAUAUUCCUCUCCAAAGAACCAGUGCAUUCCACUCUGUUUUUCAACUAAACAUGAGAACCACUCUCAGGUGCGGGUCCAAACCGUUACAUUCCACUUCAUUCCUUCAACCAAACACACCCUAGGAAGACACCCCUCCAUUCUUUGGUUAUUUAUAUUGAACUUUUUUGCUUAUUUUGAUUAACUUAUUAACACACACUAUUACAAUUUGUAGUAUAUUUAUAGCACAAUUAACACAUGAUGGUGCUGCUAAACCUUAAAACAUAACAAUCUAGGUUACAAUUACCAAAUCUAUUUAUUCUGCCCUACGAGGUGGCUGUGGUCAGAAAUCUUCGUACAAUUAAAACUAUACAUUCUGCUAAAUUAAAAUUAUAUUUUUGCAUCAAGCAUUAUGUUUUAAUUUCAUAAAUUAUGUUUAGAAGGAAGAAAAUGUUGGUUGAAUUGAAUGUUUCUCGAUGUAAGACAAUACUAGUGACACAAUUGUAUUGUAUAUUAUUAAUAUGCACCAUUAUAAAUGUCAUAUGUAUUUGUAUGCAUUUAUUUUUUUGUCAUCUUUAAAUAUAUUGAUAUAGAGCUCUAGAGUGUAUGUGUCUAACAAAAAUCUUGAUAUAUGUGGCUGUGUGGUGUAUGCUUUUUUUUAUUGACAAUAAAUAGAUAGAAAGUAUAGAUCUCAUGAAAUAUCUACUAUUCUCCUCGGAUAACUGACAUUGCUCUUUUAGUGGAUUUUCAUGGAAAAUAUGCCUUACUGUUUGAUUAUAUGGUUCACUAGUUGGCAUGUUUGGAACAAAGGAAAUUUUCCAGGAGGUCUGAUUCAAUGCAAAUUCAUGAGGUUGGAUUAAAUUGAAUAUGAUCUACGUUAUAUGCGUUGAAAAGCAAGAAUGUUUGGCUCUCUAGUUAAGAAAAGGAAUGGUGUACAAAGUCUUAUGUCAAAGGUCAAAUUAGUAAUGGUGUUAUGAAGAACAAGUAAGGUUAUAGCAAACUCUCCUAGCAAACUAGCUAUAGGAUUGUUGAAACUAGAUGUAACUAAUAAAGAGCAUAACUUCACUACAGAUAAGACAUCAUCGAAGCAUGGAAACUCAACCAAAAUACAACAUGAUAUAUACAAUGUAUUCUUGUUGAUGCUACUUUGAAAAUCUGCUUCUGAGCAGGCUCAUCUGCACCUACGUUGACGAAACAAAUCAAAGUAAAUACUAGAAAAUUCAAAAAAUUCCAACUUUUUUUGCAAGGUCGAUAAUUUGAUGCGCAAGGUACGCUUCAAUUUUCAAAUCAUUCGGACCUCUAAGCAGCUCUCGGCAAAAAUAAAUAAAUUCGGGGCCUGUAAAAAAGUUUAUUGUUCAUGCACUGUUCUGACCCGAGUUGUAUUUUUGCUGAUGGCUUCAGAUGUCCAAAUGAUUUGAAAAUUGGAACGGACCUCACACACUAACUUUUCUACCAUGCAAAAAUAUUGGAUUUUUCUUUGAUUUUUUUCUGACCGGGUGCAGAUGAGUCUGGGUACCGAAACGCUGCUACUUCUUCUAUUCUUCUCAAGACAUCAAAAUAUGCACCAAUCAUCUCAUACACAAAUACACAAGUCUUCUAUUCUUCUCAAAAUUCUCUGCAUAUUUUCUCCUCUCGUUGGCUCUUAAUGAAGCUCGGACUAUUUCUGCACCAUCGGAUGCAAAUGCGAUAUGUCUUUGUCCACCUUGCUCGACUUAUUGGUAGGAUUGGCCACACUAAGAAACUACAUUCUGCCAGACUCCUUGCCCACGCAUGAAAAACAUCACUUCCACCAUUGUGGCUAGUGGUGCUCACUAUGUCGCAAAGUUGUCCCGACGAGUGACGAAGGAUCAUUGUUCCAUGCGUUGUGCACGUUCAACCCGGAUCCCUUGCUUGGAUGCAAUAAACUCUUCUUUUAUUUGUAUUGCAGGUAUAACUAUGUGCUAAGACAGUACCAACAAAAUAUUCUUUAUUGAGGCCUUGGAACGACACCAGACAUGGGAAGGCAAGGGGUAGACCUCCCGGUCCCCUUGACAAAACCACAAUUGAUCCCUACUCUCCCACGACUAUCCAGUAGACACAGUUACCCUUGAGUCCCGGAACACCUUUGGCGUCCAUCGGCACCGUAUUGUUUCCUCCCAAUAAACACCAAGUUUGCCCCCCUCCCCCCCUCCCCCCAAUUUGGCCAUGACGUGCCAGCAUGGACGGUGCCGAGGAUCGUAGCUCAGAGAAAAUAAUUCAUCAUUUGUUGCAUGGCGGUGACCGCCUCCUGGCAGCUGCAAAGUAACAGUGCAACUGCCAUUCCUCCAAAUUUGGUAGAGGUUUCCAUUACACAACAUCAGGUUGUCGACACUCGUGAAACUCCAGACCGUGUCCGGCAUAUUUAGGUCUGGUACGGUCCCGUGCAUUUGAACGGCGAAGUGCAUGUUAUACAAUGUGUUGAUGUUCGAUCAUCUAUGAUGAUAGGUUCUGGGUGGCAACAGCAGUGUCCGGCCAAGAGAAGCAUGUGGACAUCUUUGAAACAAGUGAGCGAGUAGAUGGUACCAUUUCCAUGCCAGAGGAGGUCGGCGAGUUGGUCUCUAGGUCACCUCCUGUCCCCAUGCGGUGCGGUAGGUGAGCCUAUGGGUGUUGCAGAUGGCCCAACUUCAUAUGCGUGAAAUGAGGAAUAAAAGGUGUGCCUUUUCUAUUUCCACUCACCUGAAAAGGGUUUUGUUUCAGUCAAUCUUUUUUCUCUCGGAGCAACUAGUUAGAUAGUGCCCCGGGAUGGUUUUCCAGGCAUGAGGGGAGGCGCGUUGAUGCUCUGAGCGAAGUGGCGAUAGCCAGGGAAGAAGGAACCUAUGGUGGUUUUCUUUUCUAGUUUUCUGGAACAGUGAGAGUACUGCUUAGCUUGCAAAAACGUCUUAUGUUGUUGGACGAAGGGAGUAGUUUCUUAAUUAGGUAUAGAUUACCAAAACAAACUACAUCAAAUAGAGAAUGUGCUUGGCAAAACCAAAUAAAAAUCAAUGUGGAUAUAUAUGUAGUUAUAUCUCUACCUAAUAAUAANNNNNNNNNNNNNNNNNNNNNNNNNNNNNNNNNNNNNNNNNNNNNNNNNNNNNNNNNNNNNNNNNNNNNNNNNNNNNNNNNNNNNNNNNNNNNNNNNNNNNNNNNNNNNNNNNNNNNNNNNNNNNNNNNNNNNNNNNNNNNNNNNNNNNNNNNNNNNNNNNNNNNNNNNNNNNNNNNNNNNNNNNNNNNNNNNNNNNNNNNNNNNNNNNNNNNNNNNNNNNNNNNNNNNNNNNNNNNNNNNNNNNNNNNNNNNNNNNNNNNNNNNNNNNNNNNNNNNNNNNNNNNNNNNNNNNNNNNNNNNNNNNNNNNNNNNNNNNNNNNNNNNNNNNNNNNNNNNNNNNNNNNNNNNNNNNNNNNNNNNNNNNNNNNNNNNNNNNNNNAGAGCAGAAGAAAAAACGUUUCACAUAUUGCAGAAAACCCCCUAAGAUUUUUGGUAAUCAACGUACGGUCCUAUUUUAAGCGAGAAUAGAAAAUGCUUUGCUUUUUGUACAAAAACCCCUGAGGUUUCGGUUAAUAAACCCGCCGUCUGUCUAGAAGAUAACUUUUUUUCAUUUUCAAAUGUUGUAAAAAAAUAUUCAUAUCAUUUAAACAGUAACUUCAAUUUUAAACAUGUUAUAUAUAAAAACUGAUUAGAAAAAUAUGUAGAAUCUGAAUAUGAUGUUAUUUUUACCUGUUAAUAAUUUUUAGACGCUGUUUAGGGAAAAAUUCAAAUACUUUUAGAUAAUAUUCAUAUCUUUUAACCCCUAACUUCAAUUUUAACAUGUUAUAUAUAAAAAAAUUAGAAAAAUGUGUAGAAUAUGAAUAUGAAUAUGAUUUUAACAUCCAGAUUGAAAAUAAACACCUCAGCAAAACCAAAUUAGAGACGAAAGAAAUCAUCUAUAACCACGCAUGUCCAUCGACAAGGGUGGGAAGAAGGGUAAACGAUAACACUGAUAAGAUGCCAUGUUGAUAUAAAGGACGUUGAUCUAUUGGGGUCUUGAGUCAUGGUUACUGUGUUAGAGGCGUGUUGUAUUUUUUUUUCUCCCGUUGCAACUUCAACGCACAGGCUCUUUUGCUAGUAUAUACUCAUACAAAUUAACACAUUUCAGGCCAAGAAAAAGCACUAGCUGACCUGAGUUCCUGUGACGGGACGGUACUCAAGUUCUCUAGAGAGAUGGAUCGAGCUGGGGAGGAAAUAUAUUCGCUAAAAUAAUACAGUAUACUAUAGUUUGUACAGUUGAUUUAUCGCUUCCUCUUCUUCUUGCAGCUGCCGUCGCUGGUGGUUGACGUUUCGCUUUCAGCACUGCAAGAAGAGGAAGGAGGAGGAGGAGCAGCAGCAGGAGCUACUGCUGCUGUUGGUCCCGUCCUCUCCAUGAACACUGCGUCCAGCUCCUCCGUGGAGACGGAGAUGGCUUCCGGCGGCAUCUCAAGCAGCUGUCUCCUCCUCCUCUUGCGCGGCUUCAUCUUCCUCGGCGCCGGCGGGCAGAUCAUCUUGGCUUGAGACGGCGGCGAGGUGGGCGUGUGGUAGCCGUCGUCGGUCUUGUGCUGCGUGGGCGUGGCCGCGGGAUUCUCGAGAAGGGUGGCGAGGAGUGGCAGUGGUAAGGCCGCCAUGGCUUUGAUAGCUAGCUAGCUCUGUGGAGUCCUACCUACUGUUAGUCCAGCUGAAUUUAAGCUGCGUGUACAUGCACGCACGCUCGCUCGCAGGUGUCGGUGCACGUACGAAUGCAUGGGAAAGAAACGUUUCAUUGGAUACCCAUGUAGGCAGGCAUGCAUGCAUGCAGCUAGCCGUUUGCUGAGAGAGAGCUACCUGACCAUGCAUGCAUGCGUUCAUGAUUGACCUUGGAUGCUUCGACCUACGCUUUGUGUACGUUUGCAUGUUGAUUGGAGUGUUGUGCGCGUGCAUGCAUGACCGAGUCAUUGGGACGGACGGAAGCAUCGAACCGGACGGACCUACGUAUACGUCCAACGGUAGUCGAUCGGUCGAACCAUGCACGUGACCCAUUUCGAUUCUACCGGUCGGUUCCCGUAGCCAUAGGAUUCCGGCCGGCCGACAACUCCGGAGGCAAAGCUCCCACGCAGAUAUCCCUUGCAAUAAAAAAAAGCAGUAGGUGACCUACGGAUAUGCAUGUUAUUUUUUAUUUUUUUGUACUGUCAUGACUUGAUAACCGGAACUUUUUUGGCAGAAAAAAGGGACGGAGCCAGGAAGUUCAUAAGAGGGGGCCAAUCGGACAUGUAGAGCACUGAAGGGGUUAUACAUACAAAUUUAAGCUGAAUUAGUAUAUAGCUAGUUCUUGGUAUUGUCAUGCCAUGAUGAAUAGACCGGAAGUUUCUCGCAAAAAAGCGAUGAAGCAGGAAGUUGAUAAAAGAGGCCAAUUGAACAUGUAGAGCAUUGAAGGGGUUAGACAUACAAAUUUAGAGAUUAACUCCACAAGUUCUUUUUAGGGGAAACUCCACAAGUUAACAAAUUAGUAUAUAGGGAUGAUUUGAAAUUAAAUUUUUUCCAGGAUGGGGGCCAUGGCCCUAGCUCACUCCCUGCUGGCUUUAGGCCCUGUUUGUUUGGGCUGCGGCUGGGGCUGGUAGAAGCUGAGAAACAAGCUGGAGCUGGUAGAAGCUGAGAAGCUAAAAAACCUGUUUGGUAACUGCUCAUGAGUUAUGCUCAUAGCUUUGCUCGCUUGGUGUUGAGUUAUGCUUGUAUAUAUUUAGAAUUGUGAGAAGCUUUUGCUCACUUGGUGUUGAGUUAUGCUUGUAGCCUCUUAGGGAAGCCAAUGAGGCAGCUUGAGUUGGCAAGCAGGUUCCGCAUGGUCAUUCUUUGAGCAAUGUGUUUGUACUCUUUUUACUAGGUCAUUUUGUUUGGUGGCAAGUUUUUACAAUUUUUGCCAUGUGUCCAUCAUGAUCCGCUACUUUUUUUAGCAUGAAUAGCACAACAGGUUUUGCAUAUUUUUUUGGAUAUGGGUAAUUUGAGGGGGUGUAUGAGGUUGGCAUCUAAAGAUGGGUGUCAAGAAAAUGGCCACCUUUUGCAUAUGAACUUGCAGUUUACUUAGUUUCUGUUAUGGAUUUAAGGGACGAAGGUGGCAACUUCGGUCUUGGUCUGAUGGAUGGAAUAAGAUAUGGCGGGUCCUUUUGAAUUGGUUAAUCCUUCUAGCGGAGCUCUAGGCAUCAUGGGCGGGUCGACCCAUUGCACAUAUUGUCGCGAGCGGGAGAACCGAGCAUUGUAACAACCGGAGCUUUUGUUACUACUUUUCAUGGUCUUCUAUCUCCCGCCAUCGUGACACAAGGGAAAGUGAUGCGAUCUGUAGUGAUGAUCAAAGAAGAUACAUGGGAGCUUUUGGUACUUUUGAUGGCCUUGUUGAUCCUGAGAUUCUUGAAGCUCAUGCUUUGCUGUGAGGCCUUCUCUUUGGCUUCUGAUUUAUACCUCCAAAGGAUUAAAGUGUCUACAUAUUGUAUGGCAAGAGUCAGCCACCUGAACAAGAAUUGUCUUUGUCCCUCGAGCAUGAUUAUCAGGGAUAUCAAGGAGAGACAGGGGUCUUCUGGGUUACUGAUAUUGUGCACGAAGGGGGAGAAGAUAAUUUUAAAGCGCAUGAUCUUGGGAAGGUGAAAUCGCCCCUAGCAGUUGGGAGGCUAGCUAAUAUACAUUAUCGACAUUUGGAUAAAGUGGUGACCUCUCAAAAAAAAUGUAACAACCGCAGCUAUAGCUAACCCACGUACAAUAGCAAACAGGCUGAUGUAGCAACCGAGCGAUGUACCAACAUUUUUUGAAAACGCGAUUUUUCUGGCAAUUUAUGAACCUUUUUUAAAAACACAAACAAAAUUUGAAUUAGUACAAUUUUUGAGACACGGGUAUUUUUGACAUUCCAAGCAUUUUUAAAAAAAAAUCUGAACACUUUUAAAACAUAUGUGAGCAAUUUUUGAACAUUUUUCAAAAAUUCCAAACAAAAAAUGAAACUAAGAAAAGCAAUGAAAACCAGUGGAGAAAAAGAACAGAGAACGAAACACCAACAUGAAACUUUCCAGAAUGUUCCUAAACAAGAGUAACACGGAGCAAUUAAUGUGCCGGCCCAAAUCCUAGUUUCCUGUGCGAUUGGGCGAUUAUUGACGCUGAAUGCGUCAAAUAGGAACAUUGUCCUUUCGCACGAAUACUAUAUCUCGCCUACUGCAAGACAGCACACCGUCUCAAAGUAGACGAUCACGAGAUGUGUUGGCCCAGUAUACGUCUCUGGUAGGCAGUGUAGGAAGGUUCCAUGACCGGUUCUUGAAACGUCUACACGAUUUUUUGUUCUUUUCCAUUCCUAUAUGUUUCUCCACCGAUUAUCUUCAUAUUUUUUCUUUCUUUCCAAGACAUGUACUUUCCUAAUUGCACACUGUAUAAUUAGUUUACACAUGGAACAUUUUAUAUAUACACGUAGAACAUUUUUCAAAUAGUCAAUGUACAUUUAUUCAAAUACAUAUUUUGAACUUUAUAGGAAUACUUUUUUUUCUAAUACAGAUUGAACAUAAUUUUAGUACCAUGAAAUUAUUAUGUUUGAACAACGUGAACAAUAUUUAUAUUGUAUAAAUGGCUUUCAAAAAUAUGACAAACUCUUUUUUAAAGCGAUGAAAAAAAUUGAAACACAUAAAUCAUUUUUAAAAUGUCAUGGACAAUGUUUUAUUAACGAUAUUAACAUUUUAACAAAUUGUUGAUUCCAUGUUCAAGAAAUAUUCAUGUAGUGUAAAAAAAAUUCCUGCAACUUUGUGAACAUUCAUGUAGUUGCAAUAUUUUUUUUUACACUACAUGAAUAUUUCUUGAACAUGCAAUGAACACUUUUUCAAAUAUUGGAGUAACCUAACGUUUUAUAUACAUAUAUUGCAAACAUCUCAACAUACUAUAAAGAAAAGAAACAAAAAAAGAAAAAUGAACAAUACAAAUUAACAAAUAGAAAUCAGCCGAGGACAGUAGUAACAAACACACACUACAGGCAUGGCCCACUGGCCUAUCGCCUAAGAAGGCGAGGCUACCUAGACGCCCACGAGACUUUUGGUGGAGCUAUAUCUCGCUUAUAGCGCAAAAUCACUAGUUAAGGAUUACCCCUGUAAAUGUCACUUUCCAAUUUUUCUGUUGCUUCACUGUAUGUGCGUCACUUAUUGUAACCUAAAGUUUCCCUUUUAUUCAAAGAUUUCUUUUUUUAACGGUUUUUCCCUCUUUGGAAAACACAAUUGUGCUUUUCAUGGAAGCAAGGCUAUGUUUCUCACGAUUAUGCUUUUCCUUUUUGGAAAGCAAAAUUGCACUUCUCCCAGAAGCAUAUGUUGUGAUUCUUCCAAAAAAACGAAGCUUCUUAAUUUUUUUUUCACCAAAUCCAAGGAAAAACCCAAGAAACAAAAUAAAACCAAAAAACACGUACAUAAAUAAAAAAGAAAAUCACGAGGAUGCGCCAAGACCUCCACACGUGUCGGUUGCUAGGCGUACCAGUUGGUGCGCUCUUAGGCAAAAAAAAAGACCUUUGCGGGAGACCUCCAAAGGAUACGCCUUGAUUAGGUGCUCUCCUUCUUGCGUAAUGGUAGUCCUCCUUCCUUCAUUUCCCCGUAGUGCCACAUGAAUAGGUCGGCAUAGUGACGUGUUUUAUGAGUCGUGUGUUCUUUUUUUUUCCGAGAAAACUUUCGAUCUAUUCAUUUUCAAUCAUGGCAGUACAACGAACAUCAGAAAUAAUAAAAAUUACAUUCAGAUCCAUAGAGUUGUGUUUUCGUUCUAACGCUGCUAGUUUCGGAUUUUUCUUCCUCUUUUUUUCUUUGGUCUUUUCAAUUUCUUCAUCGCUUAGUUCAUUUUUAGUCGUUGUACUUUGAUUUUUUGUAUCUUGUUGGAUUUCUCUGAUUUUUUGUUUUAUUUUUCUUUUGUUCCUUGCUUAGUCUUCUUCGGCAGUUUUCAACACAAGUUAACAUUUUUCGCAUACAUCAUGUACGUUUUUUAAUACAUGUUUAAUAUUUUUCAAACAUGUGCUUAAUAUUUUCCCAAAUUUAUGCUUUGAUGAUUAUUUUAGUUUAGCCACAUAUUGU